UGGGGAAUAUUGCACAAUGGGCGAAAGCCUGAUGCAGCGACGCCGCGUGAGUGAUGAAGGCCUUCGGGUUGUAAAGCUCUGUCUUUUGGGACGAUAAUGACGGUACCAAAGGAGGAAGCCACGGCUAACUACGUGCCAGCAGCCGCGGUAAUACGUAGGUGGCAAGCGUUGUCCGGAUUUACUGGGCGUAAAGGAUGCGUAGGCGGAUUUUUAAGUGAGAUGUGAAAUACCCGGGCUUAACUUGGGUGCUGCAUUUCAAACUGGGAAUCUAGAGUGCGGGAGAGGAGAAUGGAAUUCCUAGUGUAGCGGUGAAAGUGCGUAGAGAUUAGGAAGAACACCAGUGGCGAAGGCGAUUCUCUGGACCGUAACUGACGCUGAGGCAUGAAAGCGUGGGUAGCAAACAGGAUUAGAUACCCUGGUAGUCCACGCCGUAAACGAUGAGUACUAGGUGUAGGAGGUAUCGACCCCUUCUGUGCCGCAGUUAACACAAUAAGUACUCCGCCUGGGAAGUACGAUCGCAAGAUUAAAACUCAAAUGAAUUGACGGGGUC
rnacentral:rRNA from 1 species